rnacentral:misc_RNA from 1 species
GUGAAUCAUCGAAUUUUUGAACGCAAAUUGCACUCUCUUCGGAGAGUAUGCCUGUUUGAGGGUCAGCCUAAAAAAAUCGACAUCGGUUCUGGUUCUCGGUGGCGUUCGUCGGAAAUUUGGUUAUCUUAAAUCUUUGGGUUAAGCUACUUAAAAUUUUCUUUACGGUUCCAUGGACGUUUCCAAGGUUUAUUUCUUUACACUUUUAAGGUAUCGGUUUUAUUAAGCGUGGUCGUCAUAUCGGAUCAUGGCCAUAAUUUUUCGGUAACUUACCUCAGACAGGUAAUAGUACCCGCUUGACUUA